AUGGCCGCCGCCACGACCGACACCAGCUCCGGCGAUCACUUCGCCGGCGCUUGCGGCGUGAGCGUUGGCAGCGCGUGCUCCACCCCCUUCGUCAGCGCACCGUCCACCCCCGCCCGCGACCCGUCGUUCCAUGCCGCCGCCGGCUACUGCUUCAGCGCGCCGGCGAGCCCUGCACGAGGCCCCGGUGACUGCGACUACGAUUUCGACUUCGACUUCUCGUUGCAGUUUCCGUCCCCGGCCGCCGCCGCGAUGUCCUCAGCCGACGAGCUCUUCCACAACGGCCAGAUCCGCCCAAUGCGGCUCUCCUCGUUCCUCCUCCGUCCGCAGGCGCCCCCGCCCACCGCCGACCGCCCCAACGGUGAUCGGAUGCCGCCGCAGGAGGCAUCGUCGCCAUUGGACGAGCGCGGCCGUUUCCGGAGCCGGUCGGUGCAUCGCAGGUCCCGCUCAGCCUCGCCAUUCCGGGCACACUGGAUGUCACCGUUAUCUUCGCCCGCCCCGGCGAAAGAAUCCGUACGGACGCCGACAUCAGCGUCACGGUCGUCGUCCUCGUCAUCGACGGCGUCGUCCGGGUCGUCCUCGGCCUCGGGAAGCUGCGGCCGGUGGCGGUUCUUGAAGAAGCUCAUCCAUCCGUACAAGUCCGACGGCUCCAAGCACCAACGUCCACCAACGCCAGCGAGCCCCAAGACGAACUCCCCGCUGGCAGCUCCCAACAAGAACCCCACCCCGGCGAUGGGUAAGCGCGGGAGGAGGAGCUCGGCGCAUGAGCGGCUCUACGAGGCGAGGCGGGCAGAGGCGGAGGAUAUGCGGCGGCGCACGUUCCUGCCGUACCGGCAGGCGCUGCUUCUCGGCUGCCUCGGGUUUGGUUCCGGCGGUUACAGCGCCAUGCACGGCUUCGCCGCCGCCACCACCGGCAAGUCCAAGUCUUGA
rnacentral:rRNA from 1 species